ACAAACCACAGAGAUGACAGACGCUUCUAAUCUUCUUAAAAACGCCUGUCAUUUAAAUAACUAGACACAAGACACAAGUCUACUGAGAAAACGGUCUGUUCUGACUGACAGAAAACACAUCACCGCAUCCAGCUCGUGUCAGGGUGACCUGAACACUGCUUUCACUCGGGUCCAGUGUGACAUUCUUCUCCUGAGGGGCUGCUAGCAGGAUUUAAAAUGAAUUACAUGGACAAGCCGCACGGAAAAGCUUAUUUAGUUGAUGUGAAGAUUAAAGGUCACACAGCACCGGACUUAAAUUCUUCUCAAAUCAUUCAGUGCUUUGUGUGAGAGGGCUUUCAUGCCAUUUCAUUAAAUACUGAAACCUGGCAUACUGUGACGCUCCGAGACUUGAAAAGCUCGAAAGAUUCUCGGAUCUCCUGAAAAGAGCACCUUGUGCACAUCGGUUUCCCAAAAGAAACCCGCUCCUGUUAUACAGAGAGGCAGAAAGCAGAGAUCUUCCUCCAUUAGCAGCCCCGAAUCACUAAUUCUGACAUGCAUUAGCGUGUUUGUGCUCUCUGUUGAUGUGAUUUGCUCUGAUAACAACAGUUCAGAGGUCAGUCAGUGAAGCAUUAACCAGCCGCUGUAAAUCCCUCUCAAUCAUCACGGGUUUCAGCUUUGCCUUGGGAGCCCAAAGUCCAGCAGCGAGCGAGCGAGCGGAUGUCCAGCGCAGCGGUGUUUCUGAGCCAGGUCCCGGGAUGGUUUCUGUGGACGGCGGUCUUCUUCCCCGUCACAGCUCUUCUGCUGCUGAUCAUCGCUGUCCUCGGCCAGAACCUCCGAGAGACAGAGGAAGAGCUGGCUGUGACCCCUGACCCUCGGAGAACAGCCAUUCGUCUGUGCUCCGGGCCGCGGCGACGAUGAUCAGCGAUGAACAACCCGAGCCUCCAUCUCUCCUCAGAGUCUUCAGACACGUGCUUGACGUCACUGGUAAAGCUUCAUCUCCAGAAGCGUGGAGUGUAGGGCGCUCGAAAUGUCGACUCUCUUCAUUUACUGCCACAAAUUUCCCAGAAUAAAUGAGACAAAACCACAAAGACUGAGCAGCCUCCCGCUGGAGUCUCACAGCAGGGUGAACUCGAGGAUGAUGUCGUGUCACACGCUAGGACAAAAAACAGCCUGCGUUCUCCCAGACAUCACAAAACCACCAAGGUCUUAGUAUUUCACAGCUCUCUUCAUUCUGAUUGCUCGCUUGCAGCAGACUGACGGAAAUAAAAACUGCCUGGAGAUCUUCACUAUUACUUCUGCAAUGAAUAAAGAAUGCUUGGGAAUCUCUAAUUAAAGCAAGAAAAUAUUCAUUUGAAUCAUGCCAAUAUUUGAGCUUCCAGCCAAAUAGUCACUGUAUUUUAUAGACUAAAGCCAGUGUACAUGCAUUAAAUGUGCAUUCAGCAA